ACAGAAGGUAACAAGGCUAGCAGGAAAAGCUGGAAAGAAAUCUACAGCUACAUAUCGCUACACUAGCAUGAUCUACACUAACCAACUGUAGUAAAAGUCACAACUGACUCAAUCUCACUAGGGACUGUGAACACACCCGUCCCGCCUGUCGGAUCGAACCCGUAUCCUACUCCAGGAAUAGCUGGUGGAGAAAACUCUCUAGGGACUGUGAAUACACCCGUCCCGCCUAAUUAGGUGACACCGUAGCUCAAGAGUAACUGGCGGAGAAAACUCUCUGGAGACUGUGAAUACACCCGUCCCGUCUACUAGAAUACGUCGUAUUUCAAGAGUAAUCGGCGGAGAAAACUCUCUAAAGACUGUGAAUACACCUGUCUCACCUAAUUAGACUACACCAUACCUCGAGAGUAGUCGGUCCCAGAAAAAGGUCCAACAGGAUGGUUAAGACUCCACUCACGUCACAACCUCACUAAAGGUAGGGAAAAACGUCACUCACUAUCUCACCCGGGCUGCCCAAAACGGACCCACCCUACCUGUAUCUAGCUGCGCCGUACACCACCCCGAGGGUAGCCGGCUCAAGAACUGUCCAACAGAAACUGCGACACUUAUCGCACUGAAACCUCAUUCCCGAAUAGCAUUCACGAGCGCGACCCAACGAGUUUACAAGUAUCUCUGUCAAGUUCAUACCGCUCUCACAGGCUAAGUCAAGUAACCGACCUUAACUGGUCUAACAACGAACAGGUAAAGUGCCCUCGACACAAUCUAACGCUAAAAAGGCGAUACGAGUCCACCGUCAACUCCGACGGCACCCAACAGUCCGGAACAGCCUGAACUCUACUAUAAAAAUACACUCGGCAUCCCAGCACGAGCGUAACUAAAAAUUAAACUACCUGAAAUAUUCACUAUGAGGAUACUGCAACAGUAUAAAAUAAUACAACGGCCCCUAGGCUAAAUCAGGUAGUUUAACAUAUGCCAGGUCCCGAAAGCCGGUUUUCUCCUGUGUCAAAUCCAGGUCCAACAUGUAUAAUUUAUUUAUAAAAAUAGGCUCCAAUUUCAGUUUAGAUGAAAACAACAUUUACAAAUAUGAAACUGAGCUAAAACAAUAGUAAUGUGUAAUACUAACAAUACAUGUUGACCAACAAGACUAUACGAGUAGGAAUCCGAUGAUAAACCCACCUCGAAAGGUAAAUCCAAUCCGGCGCGACGUCGAGAACGGCGGAAACGCACCCUCGUCCAGCCUCCUCGUGAUGCUACGACUGCAACCGUAUCCUCGAACGGCUUUGCGGCGCGACGUCAAUGUCGAAUCCGAGCUCCUCGGCUACCUCUACCCGUGCUCUCCACCAUGCACGUAAUUAACUAGAGAGAACAAAAAAAAAUGCACACUCUCUGUUAAUUUGAAGAGAUAAACAUGAAAAGGGUGGUGGCAUCCUUAUCCAAAAAAAUGACCACUAUGCCCCUAGACCAACUCAAAAUGAAGGGUAUUACAUCCUCCCCCACUAUAAAAAGUUUCGUCCUCGAAACUUAAAACAUAUCUCAAACCUGAGUCUCGAACAAGUAGGGAUAGGACUCCCGCAUCACCAUCUUCGGCUCCCAGGUUGCCUUCCGUUCCUCAUGAUUGCUCCACUACACUUUCACAUACGGGAUGUCCCGGUUGCGCAAUUCUUUCGUCUCCCGAGCAAGAAUCCGCAACGGUCGCUCCUCGUAUCUCAGAUCCUCGCCAAUCUCUAGUGGAGUGAAAUCGAUCACGUGAGAAGGAUCGAAAAUAUAUCUCCUCAAUGCUGAGACGUUGAAGACAUCGUGAAUGCCAGCUAGUCACGGGGGUAGAGCGAUCCUGUAAGCAACUGGUCCAACUCGCUCCAAUACCUCAAAAGGGCCAACAAAGCGUGGACUGAGCUUUCCACGCACUCCAAAUCGGCAAAUCCCUCUGGACGGCGAGACUUUAAGAAAUACAUGAUCUCCAACCUGGAACUCUAAGUCUCGUCUCCUGGUAUCGGCGUAGCUCCUCUGGCGGCACUGGGCUGUCAAAAGGUGUCGUCGAACAACUCUCACCUUUUCCUCAGCCUCUAGCAAAAUCUCAGGCCCAAGUGUCUUCCUCUUACCCACAUCACUCUAAAACAACGGGGAUCGACAUCUGCGUCCAUACAACGCCUCAAACGGAGCUAUCUGGAUGCUCGUUUGAUAGCUGUUGUUGUACGCAAACUCAACCAGUCUCAAAUGUCGAUACCACCCUCCUCCAAAAUCCAGGACACAUGCCCUCAGCAUGUUCUCUAGAGUCUGAAUGGCCCUCUCUGACUGACCAUCUGUCUGUGGGUGGAACGCUGUGCUAAAAUGCAACUGAGUGCCCAAGGCUGUCUGUAGACUCCUCCAAAACUGAGAUACAAACCUCGGGUCUCUGUCUGAUACAAUCGACACUGGCACGCCGUGCAGCCUGACGAUCUCAUCCAGGUAUAGAUGCGCGAGUCUCUCUCUGGACCAGAUGGUCUGAACCGAUAAGAAGUGAGCAGACUUGGUCAGUCUGUCCACUAUCACCCAAAUCGCAUCAAAGCCACCCUGCGCUCUAGGCAAUCUCACGACAAAGUCCACCGUAAUCUUCUCCCACUUUCACUCGACACUGGCAGACUCUGAAGCUUGCCAGCAGGUACCUGAUGCUCGGCCUUCACCUAUUGGCAAGUCAAAUACUGAGCCACAUACCGGCCAAUGCCUCUCUUCAUUCCAUUCCACCAAAACUGUGCCUUCAAGUCCUUAUACAUCUUGGUUUCACUUGGGUGAACCGUAUAAGGAGAACAAUGAGUCUCUCUCAAGAUGUCCUCUUGGAUCCCUAAAUCCACCGGCACACACAGUCGGUCCCUAUACCGCAGUACUCCCGAACUGUCAACAGAAAAACCCUCAGCCUGUCCCCUAUGUAGCUGCUCUCGAAUCCUCGUCAAGUACGGAUCUCCACUCUGUUUCUCUCGGAUCCUAUCCAACAGAGUGGGCUGCAAGACCAGAGACAUUAGUCUCGCAGUAGACCCAGGGGAUAUUAUCUCAAGCCUCAGCCGCUGGAGCUCCUCAAGUAACGGUCUCUGCUCAGUGAUCAUCACACUCAGGCUCUGCACUGACUUCCUGCUCAACGCAUCUGCCACUACAUUCGCCUUACCGGGAUGAUACUGAAUACUAAUGUCAUAGUCCUUCAGUAACUCCAACCACCGGUGCUGCCUCAGGUUCAGCUCCCUCUGUGUGAACAGAUACUUGAGACUUUUAUGAUCCGUAAAAAUCUCGCAGUGCUCGCCGUACAAGUAAUGUCGCCACAACUUCAAAGCAAAGACUACCGCGGCAAGCUCCAAGUCAUGCGUAGGGUAAUUCUUCUCAUAAUCCUUUAACUGCCGUGAUGCAUAAACAAUUACCCUACCAUGCUGCAUCAACACACAACCCAGUCCACUGUGCGAUGCAUCAUUGUAGAUCACAAAUCCUUCCCCCAUCACAGGAAGGGCAAGGAUAGGAGCUGACGUCAACCUUUGUCGCAACUCAUCAAAGCUCCUCUGACAAUCCUCACUCUAGAUGAAUCUAAUCCCCUUUCGCGUCAAUCGAGUGAGGGGUGUGGAAAGCUUCGCAAAGCCUUCCACAAACCGACGGUAAUAUUCUGCUAAUCCAAGGAAACUCCUCACCUCUGUCACCGUCACCGAUCUGGGCCAACCCCGAAUAACAUCAAUCUUCUUCGGGUCCACUGCUACUCCCUCUGCUGAUAUCACAUGGCCCAAGAAAGCAACCUCUCGUAACCAGAACUCGAACUUCUUCAACUUGGCAUACAACUUCUUCUCUCGCAGAAGUUGUAGCACAAUUCUCAAGUGCUCCUCAUGCUCAGCAUCACUCCGGGAGUAAAUCAGGAUAUCGUCGGUAAAGACUACCACAAAUCUAUCCAAGAACGACUUAAACACUCUGUUCAUCAAAUCCAUGAAUGCUGCAGGGGCAUUCGUCAAUCCAAAAGGCAUCACCGUUAACUCAUAAUGCCCGUACCGAGUCCGAAAAGCCGUCUUGGGAACAUCCUCGGCCCUUACCCUCAAUUGGUGGUAACCUGACUGGAGAUCAAUCUUCGAAAAGACAUAAGAUCCCUGCAGCUGAUUAAACAGAUCAUCAAUGCGCGGCAAGGGAUACUUAUUCUUGAUGGUCACUUUAUUCAGCUCCCGGUAGUCCACACACAGCCUAAGUAAACCAUCAUUCUUCUUCACAAACAACACCGGCGCUCCCCAAGGCGAAACAUUGGGUCUCACAAACCCUCUAUCCAUCAAAUCCUGAAGCUGUGCCUUUAGCUCUCUCAGCUCUGCUGGCGCAAUCCGAUAAGGUACCUUUGAGAUUGGUGCAGUUCCAGGAACUACAUCAAUCACAAACUCAAUCUCCCUCUCCGGCGGCAACGUCGUCAACUCAGGAGGAAACACAUCUAGAAACUCAUGGACUAUAGGGAUAUCCUCGAGUCCCGGCGCCGCCGUAGGUACCUCCACAACUGCCGCUAAGAAAGCGAUACACCCACUACUCAGCAUCUGUCGAGCUCUCGCCGAAGAUAUCCAGGUGGCAAACAACGUACUACUACAGCCUCUGAAAGUGAACUCCUUCUGGCUUGGCUCGCGGAAUGUCACCGUCCUCGCUCCACAAUCGAUCGUAGCAUAGUACCGCGUCAACCAAUCCAUACCGAGCACGAUGUCAAAGCCCUGCAGCUGCCCUAACACCAACAGGUCUGCGGCAUAAACCACGAAUCUAACUGCACCGGACACGACCAACAACACUCCGCAGUCUGUAACACAUGGUCGGGGAUCUGCACCUCUCGUGUCAAAGACAACGACCCUAACUCUAGACCAUAUAACAGUGCAAAUACUUGGCUAACAAAAGAAUGCGAGGCACCGGUAUCAACUAAAGUACGACUACAUAUGCCAAAAAUCAAAAUGAUACCUGCCACCAUACGGUCGGCUGCUGAAGAGUCCUCCCGAUGGUAACUCGGUAGUACUCCAAAAGUCUGCUGGUCAGCUGGCUGCGCUGAUGCAAUGGAUAGUGCUGGAAAUGUCGCUCUAGGACACGCUGACCUCACAUGUCCUGGCUGUCCACAAGUGUAGCAGCGACCCUCUUUCUGCUCACAUUGUCGGGGCCAGUGUGGUCCUCCAUAAAUCACGCACCGCAGCGUCCUCGGUGACGGUCCCUGCUGAAGCAAUCCCCUGGAAAGCUGACGCCCCGAUGAACCACGACCCUAAGAGCAAGAUCGAGAAAGCCUCAGCGGACGUCUGCUACUCGCCUGUCCUCCAUCAUCUGGAAAAGGGCGCUUCCUGUCUUGGCUCUGCCCCGGUGCCAUAGUCCGCUCCUAGAUGGGUGUAACUCCGUGUCCCACCAAGAGUACCUGCUGCACAGAUGCUCCUGUCUCAACUCCUGACCACUGAGUGAUAAUCUCAUAAAUUCUCUGCAAUAGUACACUCUGCUGCUUGAUCACUGUCAGGGCAGCCAACUGCUCUCUCAAAUCAGGGGGUACACUUGCCUCCGGUCGUGCACUCGGCUCUGCCUGGUCGGGCAUCUCUAGCGGUGCGACUUGAUCCCUGGUCGACGGUCAACCUCGGCAGCAAUCAGAACGAAACAAAACGGGGUCAAAUACAACUCAAACACUCUCGACCCAAUCAAUGAAAGUCUAGAAAGCAACCCCUGUUUUCCUCUAAAAUUAUGUCGUCUGCAGUCAACAUAAUUUCUCAGGCCAAAACAGGUACUCCUUCAAUCACUCACCCCACUCUCGGAGGAGUUAGAACAACUAAUCAUUGACUUUCGCAAUUAGAUUACGCCUCUCACUUCUUGCUUUCCUAAGGUUUGCCAAACUUAGGUUCUCUAGGUCCCAACGACCGAAUGCUAAACUCUGAUACCAACUUAAUCUGUCACGCCCCGGAUUACAGUUCCCCGGACACGCCGACAAAUCCGCCGUAUACAAAGGAAUUUUCCCUGUAUACGAAGCGACAGUUGUACCUGUAAAACAUACAAUACUACAAACAGUAAUAUAGAGCUGCUAGAAGAACUAGUAAAGUAAAAGAAACCGAGUUCCAUAUACAUACACUGAAUCCCAGAGUACAAAGCUACUCGCGCUGGCGAGUUAAAAGUCUGUAUGUACAUGAACCCAAACCAAAACAUCUACCUGCAGUAGGGGUGCAUCUAGCUCUGCUCCUCGGGUAGGGCUCUAACUCGUGAUGCCCUUGCCUAGCUCCUGACCAGCAACAGCAGCAGCCGAAGACGAAGGCUCUGCAAAAACGGGAUAACAACUGGACGUGAGAACUACUGUAGAAACAAGUAGUCCUCAGUGGGUGCCGCCCUCAACAAUCAUCGGUCCAGCCACUAAGUCUACAGAAGGUAACAAGGCUAACAGGAAAAGCUGGAAAGAAAUCUACAGCUACAUAUCGCUACACUAGCAUGAUCUACACUAAACAACUGUAGUAAAAGUCAAAACUGACUCAAUUUCACUAGGAACUGUGAACACACCCGUCCCGCCUGCCGGAUCGAACCCGUAUCCUACUCCAGGAAUAGCUGGUGGAGAAAACUCUCUAGGGACUGUGAAUACACCCGUCCCGCCUAAUUAGGUGACACCGUAGCUCAAGAAUAACCGGCGGAGAAAACUCUCUGGAGACUGUGAAUACACCCGUCUCGUCUACUAGAAUACGCCGUAUCUCAAGAGUAAUCGGCGGAGAAAACUCUCUAAAGACUGUGAAUACACCCGUCUCACCUAAUUAGACUACACCAUACCUCGAGAGUAGUCGGUCCCAGAAAAAGGUCCAACAUGAUGGUUAAGACUCCACUCACGUCACAACCUCACUAAAGGUAGAGAAAAACGUCACUCACUAUCUCACCCGGGCUACCCAAAACGGACCCACCCUGCCUGUAUCUAGCUGCGCCGUACACCACCCCGAGGGUAACCGGCUCAAGAACUGUCGAACAGAAACUGCGACACUCAUCGCACUGAAACCUCAUUCCGGAAUGGCAUUCGCGGGCGCGACCCAACGAGUUUAUAAGUAUCUCUGUCAAGUUCAUACCGCUCUCACAGGCUAAGUCAAGUAACCGACUCUAACUGGUCUAACAACCAACAGGUAAAGUGCCCUCGGCACAAUCUAACGCCAAAAAGGCGAUACGAGUCUACCGUCAACUCCGACGGCACCCAACAGUCCGAAAUAGCCUGAACGCUACUAUAAAAAUACACUCGGCAUCCCAGCACGAGCGUAACUAAAAAUUAAACUACCUGGAAUACUCACUAUGAGGAUACUGCAACAGUAUAAAAUAAUACAACGGUCCCUAGGCUAAAUCAGGUAGUUUAACAUAUGCCAGGUCCCGAACACGGGUUUUCUCCUAUGUCAAAUUCAGAUCCAAUAUGUAUAAUUUAUUUAUAAAAAUAGGCUCCAAUUUCAGUUUAGAUGAAAACAACAUUUACAAAUAUGAAACUGAGCUAAAACAAUAGUAAUGUGUAAUACUAACUAUACAUGUCGACAAACAAGACUAUAUGAGUAGGAAUCCGAUGAUAAACUCAC
rnacentral:lncRNA from 1 species